rnacentral:misc_RNA from 1 species
CAACCCACAAUGGCAAUACUUCCACCAUGACUUUUUGCAACUUAUUCUGCUCAAUACCAUCAUUAAGAAGUCCUUCAAGCUCAUCAAAACUUCCCCUCAAAUCCAGUAAAAUGCUGCACAGUCCCCGACGCUUACAAUAUUCCAAAAUUUCAUUCAAGCAUAUCCCAUCCAAUACCACAGUUUCAAUUCCUUUUUGAGCUGUUACUGGUUCGACAGUUGUCUCUUUGUCUGUAAAUAUAAUCAUUUUGGAUGUUGCUUCUUCCCCUACAGAACGGAUUUGGAUUGGAGAAGAACGAGAAGCUGCAGUUAUGACACAAAGGGGUUGAUUGGCACCAGGUUCUUGUGAUGUAGGAACUAAAAACUUGUCAAUUAAUGAGCUAGAAACUAUAAUUGCAUCAUAUUCCUGUAACAAUUUUGAGUAGUAUCCACCACACUCUGUGACUCCUUCCCCAAGUUGAUUUAAAAGGUGGCCAUUGACCGAGAGGGAGUAUCUGAGCGUAACAAAAGGUUUUCCGGUCAGCAUUUGAUGGAUGUAG